UACGGGGGGGGCAAGCGUUGUUCGGAAUUACUGGGCGUAAAGGGCGCGUAGGCGGCCUACUAAGUCGGACGUGAAAUCCCCCGGCCCAACCGGGGAACGGCCUCCGAUACUGCGUGCCUCGAGGGGGGUAGGGGUCGACGGAACUUCCGGUGGAGCGGUGAAAUGCGUAGAUAUCAUCUGGAACGCCAAUGGUGAAAACAGCUCGCUGGGGGUGUGCAGACGCUGAGACACGAAAGCCAGGGGAGCGAACGGG
rnacentral:rRNA from 1 species